UGGGGAAUUUUGGACAAUGGGCGAAAGCCUGAUCCAGCAAUGCCGCGUGUGUGAAGAAGGCCUUCGGGUUGUAAAGCACUUUUGUCCGGAAAGAAAUCCUUGGCUCUAAUACAGUCGGGGGAUGACGGUACCGGAAGAAUAAGCACCGGCUAACUACGUGCCAGCAGCCGCGGUAAUACGUAGGGUGCAAGCGUUAAUCGGAAUUACUGGGCGUAAAGCGUGCGCAGGCGGUUUGCUAAGACCGAUGUGAAAUCCCCGGGCUCAACCUGGGAACUGCAUUGGUGACUGGCAGGCUAGAGUAUGGCAGAGGGGGGUAGAAUUCCACGUGUAGCAGUGAAAUGCGUAGAGAUGUGGAGGAAUACCGAUGGCGAAGGCAGCCCCCUGGGCCAAAUACUGACGCUCAUGCACGAAAGCGUGGGGAGCAAACAGGAUUAGAUACCCUGGUAGUCCACGCCCUAAACGAUGUCAACUAGUUGUUGGGGAUUCAUUUCCUUAGUAACGUAGCUAACGCGUGAAGUUGACCGCCUGGGGGAGUACGGUCGCAAGAUUCAAAACUCAAAGGAAUUG
rnacentral:rRNA from 1 species